ACGAGUGGCGGACGGGUGAGUAACACGUGGGUAACCUGCCCUUAAGUGGGGGAUAACAUUUGGAAACAGAUGCUAAUACCGCAUAAAUCCAAGAACCGCAUGGUUCUUGGCUGAAAGAUGGCGUAAGCUAUCGCUUUUGGAUGGACCCGCGGCGUAUUAGCUAGUUGGUGAGGUAACGGCUCACCAAGGCAAUGAUACGUAGCCGAACUGAGAGGUUGAUCGGCCACAUUGGGACUGAGACACGGCCCAAACUCCUACGGGAGGCAGCAGUAGGGAAUCUUCCACAAUGGACGCAAGUCUGAUGGAGCAACGCCGCGUGAGUGAAGAAGGCUUUCGGGUCGUAAAACUCUGUUGUUGGAGAAGAAUGGUCGGCAGAGUAACUGUUGUCGGCGUGACGGUAUCCAACCAGAAAGCCACGGCUAACUACGUGCCAGCAGCCGCGGUAAUACGUAGGUGGCAAGCGUUAUCCGGAUUUAUUGGGCGUAAAGCGAGCGCAGGCGGUUUUUUAAGUCUGAUGUGAAAGCCCUCGGCUUAACCGAGGAAGUGCAUCGGAAACUGGGAAACUUGAGUGCAGAAGAGGACAGUGGAACUCCAUGUGUAGCGGUGAGAUGCGUAGAUAUAUGGGAGAACACCAGUGGCGAAGGCGGCUGUCUGGUCUGUAACUGACGCUGAGGCUCGAAAGCAUGGGUAGCGAACAGGAUUAGAUACCCUGGUAGUCCAUGCCGUAAACGAUGAAUGCUAGGUGUUGGAGGGUUUCCGCCCUUCAGUGCCGCAGCUAACGCAUUAAGCAUUCCGCCUGGGGAGUACGACCGCAAGGUUGAAACUCAAAGGAAUUGACGGGGGCCCGCACAAGCGGUGGAGCAUGUGGUUUAAUUCGAAGCAACGCGAAGAACCUUACCAGGUCUUGACAUCUUUUGAUCACCUGAGAGAUCAGGUUUCCCCUUCGGGGGCAAAAUGACAGGUGGUGCAUGGUUGUCGUCAGCUCGUGUCGUGAGAUGUUGGGUUAAGUCCCGCAACGAGCGCAACCCUUAUGACUAGUUGCCAGCAUUUAGUUGGGCACUCUAGUAAGACUGCCGGUGACAAACCGGAGGAAGGUGGGGAUGACGUCAAAUCAUCAUGCCCCUUAUGACCUGGGCUACACACGUGCUACAAUGGAUGGUACAACGAGUUGCGAGACCGCGAGGUCAAGCUAAUCUCUUAAAGCCAUUCUCAGUUCGGACUGUAGGCUGCAACUCGCCUACACGAAGUCGGAAUCGCUAGUAAUCGCGGAUCAGCACGCCGCGGUGAAUACGUUCCCGGGCCUUGUACACACCGCCCGUCACACCAUGAGAGUUUGUAACACCCGAAGCCGGUGGCGUAACCCUUUUAGGGAGCGAGCCGUCUAAGGUGGGACAAAUGAUUAGGGUGAAGUCGUAACAAGGUAGCCGUAGGAGAACCUGCGGCUGGAUCACCUCCUUUCU
rnacentral:rRNA from 1 species